rnacentral:rRNA from 1 species
CCUACGUGCGGCAGCAGUGGGGAAUAUUGCACAAUGGGGGAAACCCUGAUGCAGCGACGCCGCGUGAGUGAAGAAGUAAUUCGUUAUGUACAGCUCUAUCAGCAGGGAAGAAAAUGACGGUACCUGAGUAAGAAGCCCCGGCUAACUACGUGCCAGCAGCCGCGGGAAUACGUAGGGGGCAAGCGUUAUCCGGAUUUACGGGGUGUAAAGGGAGCGUAGACGGCAGUGCAAGUCUGGAGUGAAAGGCGGGGGCUCAACCCCCGGACUGCUCUGGAAACUGUACGGCUGGAGUGCAGGAGAGGUAAGUGGAAUUCCUAGUGUAGCGGUGAAAUGCGUAGAUAUUAGGAGGAACACCAGUGGCGAAGGCGGCUUACUGGACUGUAACUGACGUUGAGGCUCGAAAGCGUGGGGAGCAAACAGGAUUAGAUACCCGUGUAGUC